rnacentral:rRNA from 1 species
AUGUUGACUGCUUGCUUUGCCAUGCUUCAUGGCAUUGAGCCAUCUUCUUAUGAGUGUGUGGAGUUGGUUGAUGCAUUAGUAGCUAGACUACAUUCACUGAUAGAGGAGUAUGAAGUGGAAAUAGAUGAAUAUAAACCAUGUGAAGAAUUGAUUUCUUCAAUGAAAGCUCCAGCCAUCAUGAACAUUUUCAAUGACAUUCUUGCCAAGCAAAGUCCUGCAGCAGCUCGGCUACAAGGUGAAAUAGAUAUGUACUUGACAGAUGGCCUAGUGCCGUACACAGAAGUAUUUAGUGUGUUGGAUUGGUGGAAAGUAGCUGGAACAAGAUAUCCAACAUUAAGGAAGGUUGCCAGAGAUAUAUUUGCCAUUCCCGUGACAACAGUUGCUUUAGAGUCGGCAUUUAGCACAAGUGGCAGAAUACUUAGUAUAAGAGCAUAG